ACCGGUGGGACAGUCAUACAGCGCACCAUCCCAGCCAGCGGGACAAUCCUACAGCGCACCAUCUCAGCCGGUGGGACAAUCAUACAGCGCACCGUCCCAGUCGGCGGGACCGUCCUACAGCGCACCAUCCCAGCCAGCGGGACAAUCAUACAGCGCACCAUCCCAGCCAGCGGGACAAUCCUACAGCGCUCCAUCCCAGCCAGUGGGACAAUCAUACAGCGCUCCAUCCCAGCCAGUAGGACAAUCCUACAGCGCACCAUCCCAGCCAGCGGGACAAACCUACAGCGCACCAUCCCAAGCGAGUGAUUCUCUCAGCAAGCCGCAGCUGGUCGGUGUAGUCUACAGUGGAGCGACGUCGCCGGCGGCCAACAACUACGUGGACGUGGGAGGGGGCUCCGGGGCCGGCCCGGGUCAGGAGUACUCCGCGCCUCAGCCCCAGCCGGCGACGGGCCCUAGCCAGGACUACAGCGUGCCGCUACAGCAGCAGGUGGCGUUACUGGCGUCCAACCUUCCUACCGCGCUCGCCCAGAACGACUACGGACCGCCGUCAGAUGCCGUCAAAGUACAGGCUCCGAUCACCACGCAAAUCGACAACACUUUAGUGCGAAACACGUUACCGAACAUCGGCUUGGACGGAGCGCCACCUAUCGGGGAUGUUGGCGUCGCAACCUACCAGUGACGGCCGUAUCAAGUGCCGUGGCAUAAACUGGUACGUCGGGUGCAUUCUCCGUUAGAAAGUAUUCCGCCCGUACGGGCCACCUCAAGCAGCGCGGAGUCGCCACCGUCACCAUGGUUACCACGAGUGAUGCUGCCCGAAUCCGUCUCGAACAGUGUGGAGGCAAGAUUGUC